rnacentral:rRNA from 1 species
CGGGCUACAAUGGGUGGGACAAUGGGUAUCGACACCGAAAGGUGAAGGCAAUCUCCUAAACCCAUCCGUAAGUUCGGAUUGUGGGCUGCAACUCGCCCACAUGAAGCUGGAAUCUGUAGUAAUCGUGUCUCAAAAUGGCACGGUGAAUAUGUCCCUGCUCCUU